rnacentral:rRNA from 1 species
UGACAAGCGAAGAAGGGCGUAUGGUGGAUGCCUUGGCAACUAGGGCCGAUGAAGGACGUGGCAACGCUGCGAAAAGCCACGGGGAGCCGCUUGCAGGCCGAUCCGUGGAUAUC